rnacentral:lncRNA from 1 species
CUUUUUCUUUUUUUUUUUUCAAAUUUUCUCUUUAUUUUGAUCCCAAUUUUAUUUUCUCCUUCGUUUACAGUCAAAUUAGUAACUUUAAAGAUUCAUUCAUUCAUUGUAAUAUUGGUUCACAAUUUUACACUUUAAUCCCUAACAUCUUCUGUAUUCGCACCCAUUGUGUCAAAUUUUACCAUUCUCCCUAUCUUUCUCCAUAAUUUACAGCUAUUUUGACCUUGUGCGUAAUCUCUACUAUCUCCUUUGAAAUAUUCGACGCAGACAUGCUACCAAUUUUUCUACAAAAUUGAGCAUAUAGAAUUUUAUUGGAGUUAAUGUAUCUUAUUUUGUCAAAAUUAAUGAAAUUUCAAAUGGAUGGAAAGUUGGAACAAAAUAUAAAGUGUAAACUUCAAAUGCCAUCACUGUGGUUUCUCGCUUUCUCAUUCUAGUAUUAUGUAGUUUAAAACGUAUGAUUUUAAUAUCUAAUGGUUUUAUUUUUCUCUUUCUGUCAGUUUCUUCAGUAAUUCUUCGUUAAAUCAUGUACAAAAAAAAAACUUUAAAUACUCCAUCUAUCGUUUGUCGAAUAUUCAGUUAGUACUUUAUAAUUUACCGAAUUUUUAUUUUAGUAUCUGAUUUUAACUUUGUCACUGAUUUAAGGAAAAAAAUUAAUAUAGAAAAUAACAAAAAGACAGAAAUAAAAUUACAUGAUACGGAAGUGAUACAUUUUAAAUUAUAGGAUACUAAAGCAAGAAAGUGUGAAAUCACAAAAGUGCUAUUUGAAGUUUUUCCAAAUAUAAAAGCCUGAGGGCAAAAAAACAGAAAAAAAAAAAAGAGAAAAGGUCAGGACCAAAUGAAAAGUAAGGGAAAGUUAGGGAAUAAUGGUGCAAUUAUCCCUUUCCAGAUCUACUAGCGUCGGAGACGGGGAUUAGUACUCCGAUCGAUCGAACAAAGGAUUAUUACUCCGAUCGAUCGAUCGAAUAAAAAGAUGGAGAAUAAGAAUAAGGCGAAUAAGGCGAAUAAGGUUGAUGCGGAGGAGGCGAAUAAGAAGCGGAGGAGGCACGGAUCGACCAAGCUAUUCGUGGCGGUGGAUUACUUGUUCCUCCUCGUCUUCUUCUGCUUCCUCGCCUAUUUCCUCCUCAAAAUGUGGCCUAUCCAUGGAUUUUGGGGUUAAAUUUGAUGAUGAUGAUGUUGUUUUUGCUGUUGCUGUUGCUGAUGAUGACGACGAUGAAGAGGAGAAACCCUAGAUUCUGGUAUUUUUCCUGCUUUUUCCCCUCGUUUUUGCCCCGAAUUUGUAACCCUGUUUUGUCGUUGUUGUAGCAUAUUUCUCAACAACGUUCUCCCACGCCAUGAAUUGAGAAAAAUUUCUUUCUUUUUUUUUUUGUUUUUGUUUUUGUGUGUGUUCUUCGUCUUUUAUGAUCUGCGGAUGUGUUGAUCCGAUUUAAUUAUCGUCUGAAUGAUGAUGCGGCAUUUGAUGCUUCUAUAGUCGUACUAAGAAUUUAAUUGUUCUUAUUAAUUGCUCCUUUUUUAUUAAAAAUUUUAAUCCAUCACACAAAUAUGUUACGCAUACUUUGGUAACACCGCGGCGGCUAAAAGCAUCGCUUUUAUAUAUUAAAAUAUUAUAAAAUUUUAUUAUUGAAAUUGAUUAUAAAUUUUUUAAAAAACUUUUUUAAAAAUAAAGAAUAAUAUUUUUAGUUACUACGAUAUUAAACCUAUAAUCUCACAAAACUGAAGAUGUAUCGAACUGGCUCUGAUACAACGAUGUGAUAAGAAACAACCCAGAAAUGUACCUGCCCUGUUAUCCUUGAUCUUGAGUGGAGAACUAAUAAUUAAUUAGUGAGGUGGUGUUCCUCAUCUAAGAUGAUGUUUAGAACUGGUUAUAGGAUAGGUUACUUACACCAUCAGUGAGGAAUAACAAUUGAUUUUUUUUUAAAAAAAAAUUAUCAGUAAUAAUGUUGAUUAAUUAUAUUAUUUUUAAAGAGUUAACUAGAUUUUCACCCGUGCGAUGCACGACUAAUAUAAUAAUAUAGAAUAAUAAAAAUUAUUAUGUGAUGAUAAUAAAAAAAAAUUUUAAUUAAUUUAUUUUUUUUAACAAAUAAAAAUAUAUACUAUCAAUCUUAAUUAUAGUACAUAUUAAAAUACAUAAGUUAGAGAAAAAAAAAUUUGGACCAAAAUAAAUAUUCAACUAAAAUGCAAAAUUUAAUCAUGCUCUAUUAUCUAUGAAUUGGUAUGCAAAAUAAUUUACAUUUACAUAUUGAUGUGCGAAAUAAAAUGAUAACUAAAAUUGAUAUGAAAAAUUACAAAUGACAUUAAUAUUUAAGAAUAUAAUGAGAUCAACUAAACUUUCAUAUAUGAAACAAAUUAGAGUAAGCACACAUAUAUUAUAUUCCUACUGUCACUUCUAAGAUUUAAAAAUAUAUAGAUAUUGGUUUUCAAGAAAAUAUAAAGAAAAAACAUUUUGUUGCAUGAAGAUGAAAAGUUACAGGAGUGACAGUAGGAAAAAAAAUUACGAAAUAAAAAUUACAGAAUUGAUAGUAGGGAAAUAAUAUGUUCUAUUUUAAAGCAUCAAUAUUUAAGAGCGAAGAAAAUUACAGGAGUGAUGUGAAUUUUAAAUUUUUUUCUCUUUCCAAAAAUGCCUAUCUUUUUUUACUAAUAUUUUUAUGUUCAGAAAUUUUCAACCAAUCAUUUCAAAUAAUUAACUAAGUGAUAAUAUAUUCCUAAAUAAAGAUAAAUAUUUUCCUUCUCACGCGUAAUAUCCGCACCGCCAAUUUUUUCGCAACAUAAUAUCAGUAAAUUUUUCAAAUAUCUCAACAUAAUUAUAGGUGACUUUGAAAUAAAAUUUUCUUUAUUAUAUAUAAAAAUUUAUAUUUGAGCUUGGCAAAUAUAUAGAGCGCCACGUGUCAACUUCUCACAUAGGAUUCAUUAAGGGUUCUACUUUUAUAUAUAGUAAUAGAUUGCAUACGGCUUCUUGUAAACCUAUCGAAUAACAAAUAUAUUCAUAUAAAAUUCAACUUUUCAUAUUUAUUCUUAUAAAAGUCUUAACGUUUUCAAAUAUACCCUUACUGUUAGGAUCCGUUAGAAAAAUAUACUUAUAAAUAGGUAAAAUACUUAAUCAUUAUUAGUGAAUGAGGUAAAUUAAUUUUUUAUUUUUUUAUAAUAUUUGUGAUAGGAGAAAAAAGAAGACGACCGUUGGAGAUUUUUAGAAGGACAUGGCAAAAUGUCAUUUCACUUAUUUUUAUUUAAAAAAUAAAAAGUAUUCUAACGGUAACAAAUCAGAAGAGCAAAUAUGAAUAUCACUGACUUUUGCAGAAGAAAAAUAUAAAAAGUUAAAUUUUGUAGGAAUAUAUUUGUUAUUCGACAUGUUUAAAGAAAACUGUACGAAAUUAACCUUAUUUUAAA